UAGGCAUCUUUGUGUCCUCGCCGGCCACAACCUCCUCCCCCACCCCUGCCCCACACCCGGCCUGGCAGAGUGACCUUAAUGGAUACUGGAUUAAUAAAUAAACGUGCCCCCUUCGCCAAGGAAGCACAGGGCUGCGUUUGGGGGUCACUUCCUCCACAAGUAAGGUCACAGCGUGAAUUCUCCAUGCUGAUGGCCAAAGGCCGGCCAAUGGCAGGAACUCUGGAAGCUCUGCUGGCUCCCCUUCCCCCACCCUCCUCCCCACAGGAAUUCCAGGCCGGUUUCCCAGGGGGCUGCGCAGGCGGACUCGAGCGACCAGGACUUGGUCAGAAUCCCCUGGCGCGUCCCAAAUGGGCAAGGGCCGUUUAGACCCCACACCCCCCUUUUGUAUUCGCGCGUGUUCCCCCCCCCCGUGCACGUUCGCGGACACACGGCUCGCGCUCCCGGAGGGGGCCCUUUCGGGUCCCCACGCACAGCGCAGCUCGCCGAGCCUGUGCGCAGGUGCGCGGGGCUCGCCCCCCCAUUCGGUCCAGCGGGAUCCCCCCCACAGCGCGCACACGGUCACGCGCCCGGCAGGUUAGGGCCGCCCCGCCACGAGCCCGCGUGGAACCCCGCGCCCUGCCCGGGACGAACCUCUCCGGCGGGGACAGCAGCAGGUUCGAGUUCACCACUGCCAGGCCCGUGCCCAGCCCCCCCGCCGGUUCCCAGCGCCACGUGACUACAGGAGCUGCCGAGGGUCAGUUGCGGGCUCGGGCCGGCGGCCGGCGGCCGCGGCCGGAGGGCGGGGCGGGCAGCCGGGCCGGCCGCGCGGGGCUUCUCCCGCGUCCCCAGCGCCCCCUCGCGGGCCCGGCCUCGGCCGGGGGCGGCCGCCGCGGGCCCGACUCCGUUGCCAUGGCGACGCAGCCCGGAUUUUCCCGGCCCGGCUCAAGUUUCCCGACCCUUUGUCCCUUCGGAGGGCGUGCGUCCCUGGGCGACCGCGUGGCCAGACUGCGGUCACUCGACUAGACCCGGCCUCAAUGGCUUAAACUCUCCUAACUGGCCCGAACCUUCGAGAGGGCGCUCCCUGCCCCGGGUCGUCCCCUGCUCUACUCCCGCCACCUCGACCUCUGGUGGCGCUAGGGAAUCUGAAAGCCGCGGGGCCUGAGCGGCGCCGGACUCCACCUGGCCCGGGGCGCGGUUGACCCCAAAGUCGGCCUUCUGGGUUGUAAAAAGGUGGAGAAAGGAGAAGCUCGAUCGGGUCAACUUUGAAAAAGGAAUGCCCUCGCUUCCAGAAAUUAGCGGAGUGCAGGCAUUCCCGGCUCCGGCGGCCGCGGGGCGGUCUUCGCACCCGGGGGCGUUUCGCUUGGAAACGGACUGCAGCGGGU
rnacentral:lncRNA from 1 species